UCAACAGUAUGUGAUUAUAGAAGGACAAUCAACGAUAGUGCUUUCAGAGGGAAGGCAGCACGCUUCAAAUAUUACACUGGCGUCCAAAACUAAAUUUAAAAACUUACAGAAUCCGCAGUAAAAAUGUGUAUCGCAAACUGUCUCGAGUUGAUUGACGUACGUGCUAAAGGAAGGAAAAGCUAUGAAUUUUGUGAAUUCAAUCGGCUUUCUGGAUUAGCGACUGGCAAGGAGUGCACGAAAAAGUUUUAUUUUGAUGAGCGUAACAAUAAAAUUGUACUCUGCUCUGUCAUAACAGAACCAAGCGGAAAAUGGAACGAUUUCAACCUUCUAGACUUGCUGAAAUCUCGAGAGUGCACACACAUUUCAUUGGCUCCUUUACUCAUUUUUAACCAAAUGACCAACUCCUUAGUUGAAAACAUGCCUGCAAUCCAAGAGCUCAAAGAAACUAUUCGAGUUGCCGGCACGUUCAAGACGAAAAUGCUGGUGGAGAUCGGCACAUGGGACGAUUCCAUUAUGUCUCCCGAAAGUCUAAGCAAAGUAGCCGCCAGUAACGAACUGACGAGAAAAUUUUCCAACGAAUUGCAGCAAUUUAUUCGUGAGUACAGCUUGGAUGGCGUGUUCAUAACAUGGCAAUACCCCACCUGCCCAAAGGUGAGUUCGAGGUUGUUUAUCCUAAAAUGCUAAUUUGCAAGCAUUGGCAGCACGCAUGCAAUCCGGGAGUGCCGCAUGACAGGG